rnacentral:rRNA from 1 species
AUUGAACGCUGGCGGCAGGCCUAACACAUGCAAGUCGAACGGUAACAGGAAGAAGCUUGCUUCUUUGCUGACGAGUGGCGGACGGGUGAGUAAUGUCUGUGAAACUGCCUGAUGGAGGGGGAUAACUACUGGAAACGGUAGCUAAUACCGCAUAACGUCGCAAGACCAAAGAGGGGGACCUUCGGGCCUCUUGCCAUCGGAUGUGCCCAGAUGGGAUUAGCUAGUAGGUGGGGUAACGGCUCACCUAGGCGACGAUCCCUAGCUGGUCUGAGAGGAUGACCAGCCACACUGGAACUGAGACACGGUCCAGACUCCUACGGGAGGCAGCAGUGGGGAAUAUUGCACAAUGGGCGCAAGCCUGAUGCAGCCAUGCCGCGUGUAUGAAGAAGGCCUUCGGGUUGUAAAGUACUUUCAGCGGGGAGGAAGGGUGUAAAGUUAAUACCUUUGCUCAUUGACGUUACCCGCAGAAGAAGCACCGGCUAACUCCGUG